AGGGGAAAAGAUUGUGGUCCAAUUAGCAAGCAAAUAACACCUAAAUCAUCAAGCGGGUCGGGUGCAGCUCAAUAGAGAAGAGACCAUCAAAGCAGAAAAGCUUCAGUUCGAUGCAUUCUUCCUGAUACUUGAACAUCCUGCUUUAUCUCACUUGAUGUCUCGCAAGCGCAAUGUCAUUGUUGCCACAGGCUUGCUAGCCUUUGCAGCUGCUGGCUUAUCCUUCCCAUUUUACAUGGCGUCAAGAUCAUCAAGGGCAACUCCAGUGAUUGAUUCAUCAAAGCCAUUACCACCCCAGGCGACUUUUCGUGGGCCUUACAUCAACACUGGAUCACGUGAUAUUGGACCUGAUCAUCAAACUUACACUAAGAAAUAAAUCCUGCUUAAUUAGAAUUUAGUAUGCUAGCUAUUGGAGUUGAUAAGAUUUUUUCUCUGUUUCCAUGUUCUGUAUUUUGUGAAAGGAGAUAAAUAAUGUCCGUCUGUUGAAACUGCGUUACUCUCCUUCUGUUCUGGAGAGAAGCUACUGUGAUGUCGAUAUUCCCUCUUAAUCAGCUCGGAUUGAUGAAGAACAUUAGCAUGUUUGAGAAUGAUUCUUUUAGGGAUAGUCGAGGAGCAUCCCAGGUGUAGUGGACACCACUGUCAUAAAAAAGAAAAAGAGCAACCAGUUCAUAAUAUCCUUUCACACAUAUAGUUGUGUUGUUGCCUUUUCAGUGAAGUUUUCGUUCAGAAACAGCUCUCUGUAAUAUGCAGCUUGCAAGAACAGCAGAAAAAUGCCUUGGAACUGUCUAACCAUAUAUAAUGCUUACUCUUCAUUUCAACAAGUAAUUCUCUACUGAAUCAGAUUAUCUGUGAGCCAAUAGUGUUUAGCAUCUCUUUCCAGUUGUGGUUAUGAGCUGAGGGUCUACCGGAAACAGUCUCUCUUGGGUAAGGUCUGCGUAUUAUCCUUCCCAAAUUCUACUUGUGAUAAUAUUACCUGGGUUUGUUAUUAUUGUUGUUGUUCAAGUUGUGAACGCAAUUUAUAAAGAUGUAAAUGUUAUUUUAA